rfam:Felis catus isolate Cinnamon breed Abyssinian chromosome B2, whole genome shotgun sequence.
CCAAAGGCUCUUUUUAGAGCCGCUUAAGCUUGCUAAGGAAGAGCUGG